AAGGAUUUAAGUUAAAUCAAACUAGUGGCCUUCAAAGCUAAAAAUAUAAAAUUUAAAUAUAAGCCUUA
rnacentral:tRNA from 1 species